rnacentral:rRNA from 1 species
AAUAUUGGACAAUGGGCGAAAGCCUGAUCCAGCCAUGCCGCGUGGAUGAUGACGGCCCUAGGGUUGUAAAGUCCUUUUAACGGGGAAGAUAAUGACGGUACCCGUAGAAUAAGCCCCGGCUAACUUCGUGCCAGCAGCCGCGGUAAUACGAAGGGGGCUAGCGUUGCUCGGAAUUACUGGGCGUAAAGCGCACGUAGGCGGCUUUCUAAGUCAGGGGUGAAAUCCUGGAGCUCAACUCCAGAACUGCCUUUGAUACUGGAGAGCUUGAGUUCGGGAGAGGUGAGUGGAACUGCGAGUGUAGAGGUGAAAUUCGUAGAUAUUCGCAAGAACACCAGUGGCGAAGGCGGCUCACUGGCCCGAUACUGACGCUGAGGUGCGAAAGCGUGGGGAGCAAACAGG